rnacentral:tRNA from 1 species
GUCCACGUGGCCUAAUUUAUAAGGCGUCUGACUUUGGAUCAGAAGAUUGCAGGUUCGAGUCCUGUCGCGGACG